rnacentral:lncRNA from 1 species
AAUGUAAAACAAUUCAAACGAGAAAACUAACGGCCUUAUUUAUGUACAAAAAAUGAACGAAAAACAAAUAUGUAACACAUAAACAAACGCCAACCACUGGCUCCUGACUUGGGACAGUCACAUAAACAGAGAUUGUGGCGGUGUUAAACAUGUUGGUGGGAUCCCAAACCCUCCCCUAACCUGGGACAUUGGUGUAAUAGUACAACAUAAGAACGAACUAUAUGAAUCCGCUGAAAAAAGGCUUAACUCAUCAUAUGGAUAAAAAUACAAACACUACAAAUAAGUGGACGUGACCGGGUACUUGUACAUCCCACCACCAAACGACACUAAGUGCAGAUCUGAGAGUACUCGCAGUUACUUAAAGCUAGAUCAAAACCACUGACAACUAAUUAAAAAAAACAUCCAAGACUAAAUUAUCAAUCAGUACACAUCUACCAUCCAAUCG